rnacentral:rRNA from 1 species
CCUACGGGAGGCAGCAGUGAGGAAUAUUGGUCAAUGGACGAGAGUCUGAACCAGCCAAGUAGCGUGAAGGAUGACUGCCCUAUGGGUUGUAAACUUCUUUUAUAUGGGAAUAAAAUGUUCCACGUGUGGGAUUUUGUAUGUACCAUAUGAAUAAGGAUCGGCUAACUCCGUGCCAGCAGCCGCGGUAAUACGGAGGAUCCGAGCGUUAUCCGGAUUUAUUGGGUUUAAAGGGAGCGUAGGUGGAUUGUUAAGUCAGUUGUGAAAGUUUGCGGCUCAACCGUAAAAUUGCAGUUGAAACUGGCAGUCUUGAGUACAGUAGAGGUGGGCGGAAUUCGUGGUGUAGCGGUGAAAUGCUUAGAUAUCACGAGGAACUCCGAUUGCGAAGGCAGUUCACUGGACUGCAACUGACACUGAGGCUCGAAAGUGUGGGUAUCAAACAGGAUUAGAUAUCCUUGUAGUC